rnacentral:tRNA from 1 species
GCCGAAAUAGCUCAGUUUGGAGAGCGUUAGACUGAAGAACUUAAGGUCCCUGGUUCGAUCAGGGGUUUUGGCA